rnacentral:sRNA from 1 species
UGAUGUAGUCCAUUAUUGAGGUAUAUGU